rnacentral:rRNA from 1 species
CCUACGGGUGGCAGCAGUGGGGAAUAUUGAACAAUGGGCGAAAGCCUGAUCCAGCCAUGCCGCGUGUGUGAAGAAGGCCUUCGGGUUGUAAAGCACUUUCAGUGGGGAAGAAAGCCUUGGGGCUAAUACCCUCGAGGAAGGACAUCACCCACAGAAGAAGCACCGGCUAACUCCGUGCCAGCAGCCGCGGUAAUACGGAGGGUGCGAGCGUUAAUCGGAAUUACUGGGCGUAAAGCGCGCGUAGGCGGUCUGAUAAGCCGGUUGUGAAAGCCCCGGGCUCAACCUGGGAACGGCAUCCGGAACUGUCAGGCUAGAGUGCAGGAGAGGAAGGUAGAAUUCCCGGUGUAGCGGUGAAAUGCGUAGAGAUCGGGAGGAAUACCAGUGGCGAAGGCGGCCUUCUGGACUGACACUGACGCUGAGGUGCGAAAGCGUGGGUAGCAAACAGGAUUAGAUACCCCUGUAGUC